rnacentral:tRNA from 1 species
GGGGCUAUAGUCUAGAUUGGCAUGAUUCCAGCCUGGGGUGCUGGUGGUCGCAGGUUCAAAUCCUGCUGGUCCCA